rnacentral:lncRNA from 1 species
UAUUUAAUAUAUUGUAAUAUUUUUUAAUAAAUAUUUAUUGAUUAUGGAUAUAAAAUAAUAAAAUAUUUGUGGAUUAUGGAUGUCAAUGGAUACGGAUAUCCAUAAUUUUAUUUGAAUCCAAACACAAACCUAAGAGCAAACGCAAUGAAUUUACCUAUACUAAAUAGAUGUAAUUUUGCAUGAGGAUAUAAAAAAUAAAAACUCAACAGAUUUGAAUUCUGGUAUGGAUUUUGAUUGUAUCUGAUCCAAAUCCGAAAUCGGCCGAAACCCAAAUUUAUUUUACGUUAUAUAUACAAUAUAUAUAUAUAAAUAUUUGAUGUUAUAUUUGAAUAUGUAUUUUAAAAAUUUAGAUUUAAUUUAAUAUAUUUUACAAUAUUGUAAAGAAAAAUAAAAGUUUCAGGUUCGUAUUUUUGGGUUCGGGUUUUAUAUUUUUAGUUAGGAACGGGUGUGGAUAUGAUUUUUUAAAAUUCGUCGAAUUUGGAUUCGGGUUCGGGUUCUGAUUUUUGAAAAUCCGUCCUGAUUCCUACCGUUUACUUAUCUACUGUGGAUGAAGAGGAAAGAUAGAGAGAGAAAAAGAAAAUAAAGAGAGAAUAGAGAUUUGUUAAUAUAGUGGAGAUAAAAUUAUUAAAUUAUUCAUGUAUUAAAAUAUCAAAAUACUUUU